UGCUGCACCCAUACAGCCUGCAACAGGAUACUCUAAUUGCAGCAAUUUCAGGAGGAAGCUUGAGAGUCUGGUAGCACAAGCUGCAGCAGCUAUGUCAGGGAAAGGUUGGGCAUCCGGGCAUUUAGAGAGUCAGAGCUAUUGGCGUCACAGAGCUGGGAAGACCUAAGUCCUUCUCCCAUCCUCCUGUUUACCCCACCUGGCAUCAAGGCUUUGCUUUAGCAAGGUGGCAUGGCCCAGACCAGGCUGUGUAUUCACUUUGUAACACUAUGGAGGUGGCAAUAAGCCCUUUGCCCAGGAUGUAACCAGCGGAUACACUUUGCUAUGUAAUUCAACAAAUUCCAGCAUUUGCUAAUUUUUGAACACAGCUCUCCAGCAGCCUCAGGAAGCUUUGCAAAACGACCUAGCUGCAAGAGGCUCAGUUUCAUCAAUGGAUUUCAUCUUAAUGACUUUUCAAAGGAUGAAUAACAAUUCUUCAGGGAAGUAAAUCUGAGGAGCUAUAUGGAAAAAGAACUGGUCUAAACCUGAAAACAAUUCAUCUGGGAAACAAACAGAAAAAUCGUAUUUUAGCAUGCAAUGCAUACUUCAUUCGAUUCUGCUAAAUUGCCGUUG